UACGGGAGGCAGCAGUGGGGAAUAUUGCACAAUGGGCGAAAGCCUGAUGCAGCUAUGCCGCGUGUAUGAAGAAGGCCUUAGGGUUGUAAAGUACUUUCAUCGGGGAGGAAAAACAAAACUAAUAAUUUUAUUUCUUGACGUUACCCGAAAAAGAAGCACCGGCUAACUCCGUGCCAGCAGCCGCGGUAAUACGGAGGGUGCUAGCGUUAAUCAGAAUUACUGGGCGUAAAGAGCACGUAGGUGGUUUUUUUAAGUCAGAUGUGAAAUCCCCGGGCUUAACCUAGGAACUGCAUUUUGAAACUGAAAUACUAGAGUAUCGUAGAGGGAGGUAGAAUUCUAGGUGUAGCGGUGAAAUGCGUAGAUAUCUGGAGGAAUACCUGUGGCGAAAGCGGCCUCCUAAACGAAUACUGACACUGAGGGUGCGAAAGCGUGGGGAGCAAACAGGGAUUAGAUACC
rnacentral:rRNA from 1 species